rnacentral:rRNA from 1 species
GGGUUGUGAGGUUAAGCGACUAAGCGUACACGGUGGAUGCCCUGGCAGUCAGAGGCGAUGAAGGGCGUGCUAAUCUGCGAUAAGCGCCGGUAAGGUGAUAUGAACCGUUAUAACCGGCGAUACCCGAAUGGGGAAACCCAGUGUGAUUCGUCACACUAUCAUUAACUGAAUCCAUAGGUUAAUGAGGCGAACCGGGGGAACUGAAACAUCUAAGUACCCCGAGGAAAAGAAAUCAACCGAGAUUCCCCCAGUAGCGGCGAGCGAACGGGGAGGAGCCCAGAGCCUGAAUCAGCAUGUGUGUUAGUGGAAGCGUCUGGAAAGGCGCGCGAUACAGGGUGACAGCCCCGUACACAAAAGCGCAUGUGCUGUGAGCUCGAUGAGUAGGGCGGGACACGUGGUAUCCUGUCUGAAUAUGGGGGGACCAUCCUCCAAGGCUAAAUACUCCUGACUGACCGAUAGUGAACCAGUACCGUGAGGGAAAGGCGAAAAGAACCCCGGCGAGGGGAGUGAAAAAGAACCUGAAACCGUGUACGUACAAGCAGUGGGAGCACAGGUUUACCUGUGUGACUGCGUACCUUUUGUAUAAUGGGUCAGCGACUUAUAUUCUGUAGCAAGGUUAACCGAAUAGGGGAGCCGGAGGGAAACCGAGUCUUAAUUGGGCGUUAAGUUGCAGGGUAUAGACCCGAAACCCGGUGAUCUAGCCAUGGGCAGGUUGAAGGUUGGGUAACACUAACUGGAGGACCGAACCGACUAAUGUUGAAAAAUUAGCGGAUGACCUGUGGCUGGGGGUGAAAGGCCAAUCAAACCGGGAGAUAGCUGGUUCUCCCCGAAAGCUAUUUAGGUAGCGCCUCGUGAAUUCAUCUCCGGGGGUAGAGCACUGUUUCGGCUAGGGGGCCAUCCCGGCUUACCAACCCGAUGCAAACUGCGAAUACCGGAGAAUGUUAUCACGGGAGACACACGGCGGGUGCUAACGUCCGUCGUGAAGAGGGAAACAACCCAGACCGCCAGCUAAGGUCCCAAAGUCAUGGUUAAGUGGGAAACGAUGUGGGAAGGCCCAGACAGCCAGGAUGUUGGCUUAGAAGCAGCCAUCAUUUAAAGAAAGCGUAAUAGCUCACUGGUCGAGUCGGCCUGCGCGGAAGAUGUAACGGGGCUAAACCAUGCACCGAAGCUGCGGCAGCGANNNNNNUGCUGGAGGUAUCAGAAGUGCGAAUGCUGACAUAAGUAACGAUAAAGCGGGUGAAAAGCCCGCUCGCCGGAAGACCAAGGGUUCCUGUCCAACGUUAAUCGGGGCAGGGUGAGUCGACCCCUAAGGCGAGGCCGAAAGGCGUAGUCGAUGGGAAACGGGUUAAUAUUCCCGUACUUGGUGUUACUGCGAAGGGGGGACGGAGAAGGCUAUGUUGGCCGGGCGACGGUUGUCCCGGUUUAAGCGUGUAGGUGUGUGUUCCAGGUAAAUCCGGUUCACUUUAACACUGAGGCGUGAUGACGAGGCACUACGGUGCUGAAGUAACAAAUGCCCUGCUUCCAGGAAAAGCCUCUAAGCAUCAGGUAACAUCAAAUCGUACCCCAAACCGACACAGGUGGUCAGGUAGAGAAUACCAAGGCGCUUGAGAGAACUCGGGUGAAGGAACUAGGCAAAAUGGUGCCGUAACUUCGGGAGAAGGCACGCUGACACGUAGGUGAAGUGAUUUACUCAUGGAGCUGAAGUCAGUCGAAGAUACCAGCUGGCUGCAACUGUUUAUUAAAAACACAGCACUGUGCAAACACGAAAGUGGACGUAUACGGUGUGACGCCUGCCCGGUGCCGGAAGGUUAAUUGAUGGGGUCAGCGCAAGCGAAGCUCCUGAUCGAAGCCCCGGUAAACGGCGGCCGUAACUAUAACGGUCCUAAGGUAGCGAAAUUCCUUGUCGGGUAAGUUCCGACCUGCACGAAUGGCGUAAUGAUGGCCAGGCUGUCUCCACCCGAGACUCAGUGAAAUUGAACUCGCUGUGAAGAUGCAGUGUACCCGCGGCAAGACGGAAAGACCCCGUGAACCUUUACUAUAGCUUGACACUGAACAUUGAGCCUUGAUGUGUAGGAUAGGUGGGAGGCUUUGAAGUGUGGACGCCAGUCUGCAUGGAGCCGACCUUGAAAUACCACCCUUUAAUGUUUGAUGUUCUAACGUGGACCCGUGAUCCGGGUUGCGGACAGUGUCUGGUGGGUAGUUUGACUGGGGCGGUCUCCUCCUAAAGAGUAACGGAGGAGCACGAAGGUUGGCUAAUCCUGGUCGGACAUCAGGAGGUUAGUGCAAUGGCAUAAGCCAGCUUGACUGCGAGCGUGACGGCGCGAGCAGGUGCGAAAGCAGGUCAUAGUGAUCCGGUGGUUCUGAAUGGAAGGGCCAUCGCUCAACGGAUAAAAGGUACUCCGGGGAUAACAGGCUGAUACCGCCCAAGAGUUCAUAUCGACGGCGGUGUUUGGCACCUCGAUGUCGGCUCAUCACAUCCUGGGGCUGAAGUAGGUCCCAAGGGUAUGGCUGUUCGCCAUUUAAAGUGGUACGCGAGCUGGGUUUAGAACGUCGUGAGACAGUUCGGUCCCUAUCUGCCGUGGGCGCUGGAGAACUGAGGGGGGCUGCUCCUAGUACGAGAGGACCGGAGUGGACGCAUCACUGGUGUUCGGGUUGUCAUGCCAAUGGCACUGCCCGGUAGCUAAAUGCGGAAGAGAUAAGUGCUGAAAGCAUCUAAGCACGAAACUUGCCCCGAGAUGAGUUCUCCCUGAGACUUAAAGUCUCCUGAAGGAACGUUGAAGACGACGACGUUGAUAGGCCGGGUGUGUAAGCGCAGCGAUGCGUUGAGCUAACCGGUACUAAUGAACCGUGAGGCUUAACCUUACAACGCCGAAG